GGGCUUACUGUGCUGACAGCAAAGCUCGUGUUGCUAAGGCUGCGAUGUAUUCUGGGGCCCGUAUAAGGGAUGACUUCUGCCGUCCCAUGAUGCUAGAGUCUGCUCGUGUGGGUUUUUAUGUUUGGUUUGUUUUGGUUUAUUUGAUUGUUUUGUCCCUUAUUUCCAUCUUCUCAGGCAACAAGUGUGGGUCCUUAGGUCCCUUCUGACUCCCUUCUUCUGCCUGGCCUAAGCUCUCAUGGGAUUUAAGGUUCCUAAUUAGCAUCCUUAUUCCACCUGCAGCCUUAACACCGUUAGGCCAUGUAUCUCUUUCCCAGGAUCUAGGGAUUAGGAUGUGGGUGUCUUCACACAGUCAUCAGCUAGUAAGUGAAUUGAAUUAAAUUGUAUCAGGUCCAGGAAUGUAAAUACACAGAAGCUCAGAACAAUUGUGAACUCUGCCUUCUCUUUUCUGUUUUGUUAAUCAUGCCAAGAAGGUG
rnacentral:lncRNA from 1 species